rnacentral:rRNA from 1 species
AUUGAACGCUGGCGGAAUGCUUUACACAUGCAAGUCAAACGGCAGCACGGACUUCGGUCUGGUGGCGAGUGGCGAACGGGUGAGUAAUACAUCAGAACGUGCCCAAUCGUGGGGGAUAACGUAGCGAAAGCUACGCUAAUACCGCAUACGAUCUAAGGAUGAAAGCGGGGGAUCGCAAGACCUCGCGCGAUUGGAGCGGCCGAUGGCAGAUUAGGUAGUUGGUAGGGUAAAGGCCUACCAAGCCGACGAUCUGUAGCUGGUCUGAGAGGAUGAUCAGCCACACUGGGACUGAGACACGGCCCAGACUACUACGGGAGGCAACAGUGGGGAAUUUUGGACAAUGGACGCAAGUCUGAUCCAGCCAUUCCGCGUGCAGGAUGAAGGCCCUCGGGUUGUAAACUGCUUUUGUACAGAACGAAAAGGCUCUGGUUAAUACCUAGGGCUCAUGACGGUACUGUAAGAAUAAGCACCGGCUAACUACGUGCCAGCCGCCGCAGUAA